CCCUGGACGUGCGGGGGUCCCAGUGGGCCGGCCGCGGCGUUUCGGCCCUGCCCUCUCGCUCCUCCGCUCGCUCCCUCCCUCCCGGCGCUCGGGGCCUUACGCGCGGGCCCGGCCCGGGGCAGGGCGGACAUGGGCGCCAAGCAGAGCGGCCCGGCCGCCGCUAACGGCCGUACCCGUGCGUACUCAGGCUCGGAUCUACCUUCCAGCAGCAGCGGAGGGGCCAGUGAGACCGCGGGCAGCGGCGGCGGGGCUCGGGAGGCGGCCGCGGGCAGGUUUCCGGCUCAGGUGCCUAGUGCACAUCAGCCCAGCGCUUCGGGCGGCGCAGCGGCGGCCUCGGCAGCCCCGCGCAGCCGCUCCCUCGGCGGGGCCGUGGGGAGCGUGGCGUCGGGGGCCCGAGCCGCGCAGUCCUCCUUCAGCAUCCCCAACAGCAGCAGCGGUCCGUACGGCUCGCAGGACUCGGUGCACAGCAGCCCCGAGGACGGCGGCGGCGGCGGCAGGGACCGGCCGGCGGGCGGGGGCCCCGGCGGGCCGCGCCUGGUGAUCGGCUCCCUCCCAGCUCACCUCUCGCCGCACAUGUUUGGAGGAUUUAAGUGCCCUGUAUGCUCAAAAUUUGUACCCUCUGAUGAAAUGGAUUUGCACCUUGUGAUGUGUUUAACAAAGCCAAGAAUAACCUAUAAUGAGGAUGUACUGAGUAAAGAUGCUGGGGAAUGUGCAAUAUGUCUUGAAGAAUUGCAGCAGGGAGAUACUAUAGCACGACUGCCUUGCCUAUGCAUAUAUCAUAAAAGUGUAAUCAAGAGCCAAGGGCAGGAACAGUGAAGAUACUCAUGAAAAAUACCAUGUUAGAGGAUUUGUCCUAUACACAUUUAUUGCAAGACUAUAUUAAGAUAGUAUGGAAAUGACCCAGCUGCAUAGAUGAAUGGUUUGAAGUAAAUAGAUCUUGUCCUGAGCACCCUUCAGAUUAAGCAUCAGAUUCCUGUUUUAUAGGAUGCUUGAAAAAUCUAGAGGAUUUGAGGAUCUGUCUCUGGAAAAACAAAAAUGCAGGCUUACUCAGCCAGAAAUCUGAGUUCUGUGAGACUUGGUAAUACAGAGAUGGACAAUCACACAAGAAAAAAGAAAAAACAUCCUGCUGAAGAGAGGACAGUAACCACAGAACUCAGUGUACCAAACUUGCAUAUAAGGGACACACAGGGAUUUUGAAAAUGCUGCACAUCCCUUAAUAGUCAUCUACAUAGGUAAUACUGAUGAACAUUUUGUAUUCAGACGCCAAAGUUAACUGAUUUAAAAGUUGAUUUACUUUUUAUUCAGUUCUCUAGAGCUGCGCAACUAGCUGUGUUUUGAUUUGUUUUGUUUUGUUUCUUUAAUUUGGGGUCUCUUUUAUUUCCCCCAACGUAAUGUUUUUGCAUUCACUUAUUCUUAAAUUGAAAAACCAUAUAAGUUACUUCUCAUAAAGUCUUAAAUGUGAAACCAAGAAAUGUAAUCAAGCAGUAAAACAUUCUCUGAAUGUAGACCAUGAUCUCAAGUUCUUCCAUUUUUUCCCCCAAGUGUGGAAAACUAAUUUCUACAUAGGAAAACUAAAAUAUGUUUGUUUUUAAAUUAAAGGUUUAAAUAUUAUCAGAAUGCUGCCCAAAGAAUAAAUCAAGUUACAUAAUUACAUUUUAAUUAAAUAAAUGUAGAAAUUGUCUACUGAAUUGUAGUUUAUAAAAUAUAUUGUUUCCUCUUAAAUAAAACUGCUCAACAUUUAAUCAGCAAUCAUCUUGCAGCUAUGCAACUUUUAAAAUAAUAUAAAUUAUUCAUUUUAAGUGCUGCCAGCUAUAAUAACUUUUGUUUUAACGGGUAUUUUUUUUUCUUUUUUCAUGUGAUUAUUUUAUUGUACUUUGCAUCUCCAGGCAGUUUUCCCACAUUUGGGUAAAAUGUGUAGCAGAGCAUAAGCUUAGAAUUUAUGAAAAAGAGUAAAACAGAAAUUUCUGAAGUGGAAGUUGGAAUAAUUUGAGGGGUAUUUUAUAUACCUUUAAACAUCAGGAUUUAAAAUUGGGAUGUCAGGUUUAUAGCAAUUCACACCUUUAAUUUUCCAGAUAAUCUGGAAGUUAACAUUUGAUAAAUGAUUUUUUAAAGCAAAUACAAAGAUUUUGUUCAUUUAUAAUUUAUUAAUGUGUUAUUACUCUUAUUGAAAAUGUUAGAGACUUUUAAAUUGAGCCUUGUGUAGAAAAAAUAAUGUAUUAAGCAAAAUUAUGUGAAUAAAUAUUCCCCCAAAAUAUAUCUGAAUGGUUAAAAAUACUGGAAGAGAGCUAUCAGGGCUACAAUAGUGAAUGUCUUUUAGAAAAAAAAAAUAUAUCAACAAUAAGUAGAUUUUGCAUUUUCAACAUAGGGAAAAUGUUAUCAGUAAAUAUUUAGGCAGUGCACUUUACUUAGUUUAAUUGAGAGUUGCACAAUACUGUUUCCUUAUUUUAAGCUCUCUUUAAUGUAUUUAAGUAUUUGCUUUUUAAUUUAACUCUGCUGCUCUUAUUUUCCUUUAGUUUGUUUCCCUACUCUAUUGCUUCUGUUUCAUACUUUCUAAAAGGGCAAGCACAGGAGCAACUGCUGCUACCCAGAAAAAUUUGUGUAUUAUGAAUAAUUAAAAUAAUUUUUAAUUGCUUUCUGUAUGAUUUCAAACUAGAUAACAUUUUCCCUCAAGUUAUGCUGUGAAAAAUGCCAUUUGUUAUGCUGCAAUUGCUGCAAAGAAUCCAAAACCUCCAUUGUGUCAGCCAACAGCACAGUUUCAUAGGUGCUUUUUUUUAGUAGUUGUAGAAAAUUAUUUUCCCUCAAGGGAAACAUUCUUAAAUUUUUUUCAUAAAAUCUUAGUUUGAAUUUAUUUCACAUUUUCAAUUGUGUAAGCUUUUGCACCCUCCCCUCAUGUACUCCCCCAAGGAAAGCCUCUUAGACUGUGAAUAAUUAAUUUGUUUUCUACUACUGGUAUAUUGUGAUAAGAAUUACUUUGUUGUCUUCCAUUCUUAAGAGAUUUAUUAUAGCUGUGGUAAUUAAUUGUUUAUAUUCUGGCAGUUGAUUUUCUGAUAUAGCUUACUUGUAAACUUUACUUUUUGAACUGUACCGGCUUAAGUUCACUUUUCCUUGUUUACCUUGUCCCAUAUUCUCAGUCUUAAUAAUUUAGCCUAUGUCUAUCAUAAGGCUGUGUGCUGCAGCUGCUACAAUUGAAGCUCCUGGGAUUUUAAAGAAAGUUUAGUGUUUGUCACUGUCGAUGCUACUUGAUUAUUAAUGUUUGUAUAUAGAAAUUUUUACUGAAAUCUGUUUAAAACAAUCCCUUUUUGUUAACAUUUACAAAGUUGUUAUUUUUAUUUUAAAUUCAAUCUCUAAUGACUUCUUAGAAUGAAGAAUUUAGGGAAAAGGAGGCGGGAGGAGGGGUAAGCUCAAAUGCUCCAGUUUUUAUUCAAAAUCAAAGUUAUUCUGGAAAAUACUAUAAGUGUUAUUCUAUAAUAUCUCUUAUAAUAUUUGCAGUCUGUAUGCAAACACUGAAUAGUAUAAGUGGGACAUAAAAUUAUGUUGGAUAUUUAAAUAUUCAGCUGAAACUACUGAACACUAAAUAUUAUGGAAAUUAAAAGCCUGGAUUAUCAAGUUGGUUUAUAGCUUUCUAGAAGAAUCUUUGUAAGUACUCAUCUUCAAAUAAGGUUACAUGUGCAUAUAUAGAAAGCAAUAUGUUUUUAAAUUUCACUUUAGUGCCACUUUUUGUCCAUAAUGGAUUUAUUGCCAAUUUGUCAUACUACUUUGAUCCAUCUUUUUUUUUUCUGUUUGCCAGAAUGUUUAAAACAGAAAAAUUGUUUUGUCUGACUCUUUACCAGAGAAAUAGUAGACUAACUAUAGUCUUCAUAUGUUUUGCAGAUUUAGUUACAAAUCAUAUUAUAUAUUGUUUUAAGAGCCAUGUUUAAGAUUGAAAUAUAAACAAUUGUUUCUAUAACUGAUUUUUGGUGAUAAAAGAAACAUUGAAAAGUCAUGUCGUUAACUGCUGCAUAAUAUAUAGGUUUUGGUUUCUUAAGUGCAAAUCUUAUAUUUCUUUUAAAUGUUGUAUGAUUAUUUCAGUUUUUGCCCACUAGAAUGUAGCCCCAAAAUGAUGAGGACCACCUUAGCAUAUCUGCAGUAUAUAUUAGAUUUCAUUUUCAAUGAGUUAAUGAAAAUGGAAGAAUUCUUUUCAAAGCUUAUUUGACUCAUGGCUGUGUUUCUAAGUAAGGAUAUGGUGAAGUUUAAGGGCAAUCAUUUAGAUAUUAUAGCAAGACAUAGGGUUAUUCCUUUAAGUGAAAAAUACUGUAAAUUCAAUGUAAAUACUAUCUACUUUUAUGUACUGACUUGGAGAGUGGAAGAUGGGAAUUUUCUCAACAGUAAGCUACAUUUGAACAAAGCAUGAAACUUUUUUAAAAUUCAAGAAUAAUUGGAUUUAUCACCUAAUUUAUACCCACACUAUGCAUUGGUAAUAAUAUCCAAAUUAUCUUAUUCUUUCACAGAGGAAGUUUCCAUUUAAAUCAGAGUGUUGGAAACUGUGUAAAACUACUUAGAAGUAAAUGGUGCUUAUUAAAUAUGAGUACAAUUUGUUAGUUGCUAGAAGUCUUCUAGUUCAUUUGGGCCAUUUUCUUGCAAUUUUGAUUUAUACUGAAGUAAACUCAGUAUAUAGUAAUAAUGAGUAAUUAAACAUGAAGUGUCAUUUGUUCACUGUACCUUGUUAUUAUACAGAUAUUUUCUUAGUUUAAAACAAAAACAAAAAAACUAGCAUGUCUGUGCUUUGUUUUUGGCCCAUCCUCCUAUUUUUCCUAAGGUACGUAACUUCCGAUAUAUAUAUUUUUUGCAAUGUUGUAAAUAACAGUGAUUAUAUUAUUCAUUUUACUAUCUACUGUCUUUCCUUCUUUACCCAGAUCUUUUCAUUGUAAAACUGAGUUGCCACUUGGUUUUCUUAAAAGGAAAGUGCUACUUGGUAUACUACAAGUAGUGAUUCAUAUUCAGGACAGCUGGUAAAACAUUUUUGGUAAUAACUUCCCAAACAGUACUUGAGUACCAUAUUCUGUGAAUGCUGUGCUUAAGCUAGGAAACAGAAUGUUUUUUCAAUCACCCAAUUCCUGUAUUAAAUGGGAAAUACCUGAACUCCUAAGUUAACUGUGGACAGUAAAAGGCUUUGACAAAACCAGGUGUAUUUAAUUAUUUAAUUUUAGCUGAAAAUGCAAUGUUACUGUACUUAGAGGAAUUGUUUGAUUUUCAGUUAUUUAAGCCAUUAUUAAUUUUAGACCAAUGGCUAAUAAUGAGAUAGAUUUUUGUUCAUAGAGAGAGAAUAGCAUGACAUGAACUAACAUUUCAGAAAUAAAUGGAAACAUUUUAAGUGAUACUAUAGUAACUUUUAACCACACUAUGUUUCUUAGCUCUGCCCUAGACAGUGAGGUGUACCUGUCACGGACACUGCCUCUUGGCAUCAGAAGUGACUGAGUUCUUCUGUAAUUAAAUGUUCAUGCUUUCCUUUUCUGAUUUGGUAUGUUGAAAUUGGUGAGCACUGAUCAUUUGUUUGAUAAACUUACAGUGCUGCCUUGUAUCCUGUUAUCAGUAAACUUGGUUUCAGUAUUUUGAAAAUGUUUGAUUAUUAUUCGAUUUUGAGUAUUUGGGUGCAUAUAAUAGAGUUAGCAUACUCUAGAGGGAGAUACAAAAAGUACAUUGGAAUUUGAUGAUGAUACUGAUUAUCACUUCAUUACAUUUCUUUCCAGUGACUCUUUAUGUGAGUUUCAUUGUUUGAAAAUCAUGGUAAUGAUAGGAAUUUAUUUACCUCUGUUGUUUUAUUGCUUUAUCCAUGGUUUCCACAACUCUUUUGUAAUACCUCUUAAUUUCCUCUAUUUGAAAGUAUUUUUCUGUUAAAUAAGUUACAAAAAGUACCAGUCACAACAAAUAGAGAAAAUGUAUUAGGAACAACUUGUAUUAGUGUGUUCUAAACUAAAAUGGAACAAUUCAUUAUUGAUAUUUUAAUAAAUAAACUUCCAAAUGA